UACGGAGGAUGCGAGCGUUAUCCGGAUUUAUUGGGUUUAAAGGGUGCGCAGGCGGGUUUUUAAGUCAGCGGUGAAAGUUUGCGGCUCAACCGUAAAAUUGCCGUUGAAACUGGAGAUCUUGGGUGCAAACGAGGUGGGCGGAAUGCAACGUGUAGCGGUGAAAUGCUUAGAUAUGUUACAGAACCCCGAUUGCGAAGGCAGCUCACCAGCAUGCAACUGACGCUCAGGCACGAAAGCGUGGGUAUCAAAC
rnacentral:rRNA from 1 species